rnacentral:lncRNA from 1 species
GCAGACAGGCUACAUUGUCCUAACCUUCACACAAGGUAACCCCCUUUCCCCUGUUAAACUUCUCAUUUAUAUAUUGUUGUUUGUUUGAUUUCUGGUUAAUCAAACCAAGUGUGUAUCUAGAAGUUUUUAAAGAUAAAAUAUAUCUUAACGUUUCAAAAAAGACACCAAAAUGAGUGAUAAUAGAAAAGAACAAGCAUACAAAUAGAUGGAUGGCAAAAUUUGGAUUGGUUAAAGUUGUGAAGUGUGUUAAAGGUAGCGUUUUCAUAACAUUUUCGCAUUUUCAUGUUUAAGUUUGAACUUUAUUUUGAACAUACGCUUGCUAUACUUUCUCAUUAGUGAAUUUUAUAAAUCGAGUUUGUGUUAGAGUGGAGUUGACUGCUUUAUCCUUAUACAACAUUUAUGAUAAUCAACCUAGUAGUAUUUUCCUUCUUGUGGUACAAAGAGGUAGGAUGCUAUUAGAUUAUCUACUUAUUUGUUUUUCAUUAAUAAUGAUGUGGCUUCUUAUGUCUAUGAAGAAUUAUAUGGUUUGUUGUACGUAGUAAUACUGUUUCAUGGUGAGUCUUUAUAGCUGUAUACGUUGAACAUCGAGUUGUUGGAAAGAAAUUUUUAUUUGCUUGAGGUUGAUAGAAAAUUAGGAACUCCUAUCAUCACUAUGCUUUCCAUUUUUGCUCCAUGUUUUGGCUGGUUUAGCGGGCUACUUCUUACAAAUGAAAUGAUACUUUUCAGGUUUUGGUACAUCAAUGGUAGUGCAAAGAUCACAUUUUCAAGAGUUUACGUCAAAGAUUUUUAUACCUAAACCAAAAAUUAUCAUAUACAUAUGCUGGUAGAUUGACCAUUGGAUGGUCCUUGCAUCUUUUAGCUUUAUUUAUUUACCGAUUAAAUUUGUCAUGCCAUUAUAAUACUAUAUUUUAUUUUUUAGAACAUGUGAAGAGAAC